AAGUCGUAACAAGGUUUUCCUUCCGGUUAAAGCUUUUAACCCACUGAAGCCUGACAUGGCGACUAUAAACAAACCAUGGAGUCUUACCCCCGAGUAGGACGAUGCCGCUGAAUUGCUGUGAUCAACCAUUGUUGUACCAGCAGCCCUGACAUGGGGGCCCACAGAUCAAGCCGCGGCGGUCUUGCCUAGGAUAGCUAGGUAGGACUUUAAUAUGACCGGUCUCGCCUGAGAUGGUUGAGAGUUGACGUUCCGUAGGUGAACCUGCGGAAGGAUCAUUACCGAGUUAGGGUCUUCUAGGCC
rnacentral:misc_RNA from 1 species